AUUGAACGCUGGCGGCAGGCCUAACACAUGCAAGUCGAGCGGCAGCGGAAGGAAGCUUGCUUCCUUGCCGGCGAGCGGCGGACGGGUGAGUAAGGUAUGGGGAUCUGGCCGAAGGCGGGGGAUAACCACUGGAAACGGUGGCUAAUACCGCAUAAUCUCUAAGGAGCAAAGUGGGGGACCGUUCAGGCCUCACACCUUCGGAUGAACCCAUAUGAGAUUAGCUAGUAGGUGGGGUAAUGGCUCACCUAGGCGACGAUCUCUAGCUGUUCUGGGAGGAUGAUCAGCCCCACUGGGACUGAGACACGGCCCAGACUCCUACGGGAGGCAGCAGUGGGGAAUAUUGCACAAUGGGCGCAAGCCUGAUGCAGCCAUGCCGCGUGUAUGAAGAAGGCCUUCGGGUUGUAAAGUACUUUCAGUCGUGAGGAAGGUGUUAAGGUUAAUAACCUUAGCAAUUGACGUUAGCGACAGAAGAAGCACCGGCUAACUCCGUGCCAGCAGCCGCCGUAA
rnacentral:rRNA from 1 species